ensembl:lncRNA
GAGGAGGAGGAGGAGGGAUUAUUUUGAAGCACUGGAUGUGGAGGAAGCACUUUGCUGAGGAGGCGACGGACCUCUUGGCGGUCGGGAAGAAUCACCUCGUCCGGGGGAACCGAAUGCACCGUUGUUGUUGUUGUUGUUGCCGGGGGCCCGUCAGCACGUUUACCUGCGCGGGAGGUUUGCCGGUCGAAGCAGCUCGGCUGCAGCGGCGAUUGAUGUGGAGGAGGCCUGAAGCGGAGGAAGAGGAGAUGUGUCCAAGGCCUCGGCGUGACGUGCCCGCCGGCAGCGAGACGCUCGGGUCCCGAGAUGUAAAACAAGCGCUCCCUUCGGAUCCGCCCCCGACUCGUGUUUACCUUGGUGGUUGUAAGCACAAAGUGUACACACUAAUAUAUUUAUAAGGCAGCACGUAGCAACCUUGAACUGCACACAUGGGUGCACUCUUAAAGAGCACUUGAUUAUUCCUGCAAAGGUGCAUCUUUGUUGCUGUGACACACACACAUGGAAUGGAUAACGCUCGGUCA